UACGGAGGAUGCAAGCGUUAUCCGGAUUUAUUGGGUUUAAAGGGUGCGCAGGUUGUUUGAUAAGUCAGUGGUGAAAGUCUGUCGCUUAACGGUAGGAUUGCCAUUGAUACUGUUAGACUUGAAUAUGGAUGAGGUAGGCGGAAUGUGUAGUGUAGCGGUGAAAUGCAUAGAUAUUACACAGAACACCGAUUGCGAAGGCAGCUUACUAAUGCAUCAUUGACGCUGAGGCACGAAAGCGUGGGGAUCAAACA
rnacentral:rRNA from 1 species